CCUUCAUGAAGUCGGAAUUGCUAGUAAUGGCAGGUCAGCAUACUGCCGUGAACACGUUCCCGGGGCCUUGUACACACCGCCCGUCACACCAUGAGAGUUGGGAAUACCCGAAGCCUGUGAGCCAACAAACGAGGCAGCAGUCGAAGGUAGAAUCAAUGAUUGGGGUGAAGUCGUAACAAGGUAUC
rnacentral:rRNA from 1 species